CCUGCGUCAGUUGCACUCUAGCCUGGGCGGUGAGCUGGGAGGUACCAGGUAAGAAGGUAAGGUGGCUCCAGCCGUGGGUGAGAGGAGCUCCGCUGUGACACCCCGGUUCCUGUAGGUCGUCGUCGUUGCUCCGCUCGCUCUGAGAGAGCAUGACCCUGAGAGGCGUCUCCGUGCAGCUGCUGAGCCGCGUUCCCGGCCUGCGCGUCUUUCGCACGUGGGUCUCGUCGGCGGCGCAGACCGCCUCGCGUCCUGAGUUUGACUGGCGGGACCCGCUGGUGCUGGAGGAACAGCUGACCACAGAUGAGAUUCUCAUCAGGGACACCUUCCGCACCUACUGCCAGGAGAGACUCAUGCCUCGCAUCCUGUUGGCCAAUCGCAACGAAGUUUUUCAUCGGGAGAUCAUUUCGGAGAUGGGGGAGUUGGGUGUGCUGGGCCCCACCAUCAAAGGAUAUGGCUGUGCUGGGGUUUCGUCUGUGGCCUAUGGGCUCCUGGCCCGAGAGCUGGAGCGGGUGGACAGUGGCUACAGGUCGGCGAUGAGUGUCCAGUCUUCCCUCGUCAUGCACCCCAUCUAUGCCUAUGGCAGCGAGGAACAGCGGCAGAAGUACCUGCCCCGGCUGGCCAAGGGGGAGCUCCUGGGCUGCUUCGGGCUCACAGAGCCCAACAGCGGAAGUGAUCCCAGCAGCAUGGAGACCAGAGCCCGCUACAACUCAUCCAACAAGAGCUACACCCUCAACGGGACCAAGACCUGGAUCACCAACUCGCCUAUGGCCGACCUGUUUGUAGUGUGGGCUCGGUGUGAAGAUGGCUGCAUUCGGGGCUUCCUGCUGGAGAAGGGGAUGCGAGGUCUCUCGGCCCCCAGGAUCCAGGGCAAGUUCUCGCUGCGGGCCUCAGCCACAGGCAUGAUCAUCAUGGAUGGUGUGGAGGUGCCAGAGGAGAACGUGCUCCCUGGUGCAUCCAGCCUGGGGGGUCCCUUUGGCUGCCUGAACAACGCCCGGUACGGCAUCGCGUGGGGUGUGCUUGGAGCUUCGGAGUUCUGCUUGCACACAGCACGGCAGUACGCCCUGGACAGGAUGCAGUUUGGUGUCCCACUGGCCAGGAACCAGCUGAUUCAGAAGAAGCUGGCAGACAUGCUCACUGAGAUUACCCUGGGCCUUCACGCCUGCCUGCAGCUUGGCCGCUUGAAGGACCAGGACAAGUAGGGGUUGUGUGGCGGGGGCUGGGGGACGGCAACUGUGGGUGGAGGACCUUGUGUCUUUCCUGGAGAGAAAGGUCCUUCCUGCCUGGUGGCCCCGGGGACCUGAACCUUCUGCUCUCCCUCUUGUCUUUGAUGGGCUGGGCUGAGGACAGCCCCACUGGUCCCUCAUUGGGAGCUUGGCUGCAUCAGGGAAUCCCCACCCCGGGCUAGGUUUGCUUGGGGCAUCGGGAUGCCAGAAUCCCCAGUCCUUGUUACCCUCAUGUAUUGCUCCCAGGGCUGCCCCUGAGAUGGUCUCUCUGCUGAAGAGGAAUAACUGUGGGAAAGCCCUGGACAUCGCCCGCCAGGCCCGAGACAUGCUGGGGGGGAAUGGGAUUUCUGACGAGUAUCACGUGAUCCGGCACGCCAUGAACUUGGAGGCUGUGAACACCUACGAAGGUACACAUGACAUUCACGCCUUGAUCCUUGGGAGAGCUAUCACGGGAAUCCAGGCAUUCACGGCCAGCAAGUGAGCCUACCCCAUCAGGGGCCCAAAACUCUGAAGCCCCUUUCUGGAGAGAGGCCUGGCUGGACCGCAGGAGCGCCAUGCUCUGAGAGGGAGGUGGCGGAUGGCGUGGGAAGUGAGAGACACUGAUUUUUAAAUAUCAAAAUUUCCCUUUGAAGUCGUUCGGAUGUGUUCCUUAAAAAGAAGAUGGAAUUCUCUGUAGAGCGUCUCAAUCCACUUUUAACCAUGGAUGAGAACAGACUCCAUUUACCCUGAAAUAGCAGCUUUUCUUGAGAGGAGAGUGACAUUGAAGCAACUCCAUCUGCUCUAGCCGACCCCUCACACCGAGUUCACAGUGUGCCCUCCGUCCCUCCCGUCUGGGGGUAGUGCCUUAUGCUGGGUGUUGGAGCGGAGUGAGGGAGAGGAAAAUAAAGAGCUGCACAUCUGA